AGGUAUGUAUUGGAUGGAGGAGCAUUAUGUAUGGAACCUCUCACAAAACAGCUCUUACUUGCAAGAAUGAAAAAGGUAUCCCAGCACUUUGGGAGGCCCGGGCCGGCGGAUCACAAGGGCUGAAGCAGUGCCUACUCGAUAGAAUCAGUCAUCAUGCAAAUAAAUGCCAAAUGAGUCAAAGGCAAAGCGAACGUGCAGCUUGGAGCAAAGAAGGUA